rnacentral:rRNA from 1 species
CCGCAUCUGUGCAUGCAGCAUAUCAAUAAGCGGAGGAAAAGAAACUAACAAGGAUUCCCCUAGUAACGGCGAGUGAAGCGGGAAGAGCUCAAAUUUGAAAUCUUAAAGGGUUUCCCUUUACGAAUUGUAGUUUAAAGAAGUGUUUUCUGUUGAGGUUUUGGUAAAAGUUCUUUGGAAUAGGACAUCAUAGAGGGUGAGAAUCCCGUAUUUGACCUUUACUUUCAACUUUGUGAUACACUUUCAAAGAGUCGGAUUGUUUGGGAAUGCAGUCCAAAAUGGGUGGUAAAUUUCAUCUAAAGCUAAAUAUUGGCGAGAGACUGAUAGCGAACAAGUACCGUGAGGGAAAGAUGAAAAGAACUUUGAAAAGAGAGUUAAACAGUACGUGAAAUUGUCAAAAGGGAAGCGUUUGACACCAGUGUUGUUUUUCUGAAAAUCAAUUAAAGAACUGUUUAUGCUAAGUUGUUUAGACUUUAUCAGCUAUCUGCUUAGUUUUGAGCUUUUCUUUAAUGCACUUUUCAGUUAACAAGUCAACAUCAAUUUCUUUUGCUGUAAAAAAGCUUGAGGAAGGUGGCUUGAGAUUCGUCUUAAGUGUUUAUAGCCUCUUGCCUAUGCAGUCGGAGAGAUUGAGGUCUGCAGCGUAGAUCCUUCGGGGCUAAAUGCAUUUGUGCUAAGUUAUAGCAUUUUAUAGACAACUUGUUGACUAUGAUUUGUCUUGUAGCUUACUCGCUUAUGUUAUUUUACCUACGCUUAGGAUGUUGAAUCUGUGCGAGACUAC